UACUUAAUUAAUAUAAAACUAAUUAAAACUGACCUUCCAUGUGCUUUAGUGCUUCAUCUGCAAAUCCAACUGAACUUAUUUCACACAUCCAAAGAUGACAAUACGUUGGACUUGAUUGGCUUGUACACAUUGGUAUUUGGUUUUUUCGUCAUAUAGUUGCAAUUGCUGUUGCUUGUAAUUUUUUUAUAAAUCAGUACAGGCUCAGGGCGCUCAGCGAUGUAGCGAAAUUUCGGGCCGUCUUUCACAACAAAUAACAUCACAAUAGAUGCACGUCUUUUUGGAGUUAUAAUUUCAAAAAUAACCAGUCGUUAUAACGUAAAAUAAGCGGGUAUUUGUGAACAAAAAUGCCCUUUGAUGACACGAAGUAACCAGCGCCAUCUUGUCUUCUGCAAACCUUACAAAUUUUCCCGCCAAAAACUCCCUCGAAGUCCCGUAUGUACUUGACGUCACAAGGUCAUGGACGAGGGGACUACCAUAUUUGGUAGUAAAACUAAAUCCAAUAUAAUUUUAAUCUCUUUCCUUCGCUAUUUUUGCUUUCCGCAUAUUGUUUGACCCAACCACGACUGUGACACAACAAUUUUUGCUCACU